rnacentral:rRNA from 1 species
GAUGAACGCUAGCGGCAGGCUUAACACAUGCAAGUCGAGGGGCAGCAUGAACCGACCUUCGGGAAGGUUUGAUGGCGACCGGCGCAAGGGUGCGUAACGCGUGAGCAACUUGCCCGUUUCUGGGGAAUAACCGGUGGAAACGCCGACUAAUACCCCAUAGUAUUGGAUUUAGGCAUCUUUAUCCAAUUAAAGAAUUUCGGAAACGGAUAGGCUCGCGUGACAUUAGCUAGAUGGCGGGGUAACGGCCCACCAUGGCGACGAUGUCUAGGGGUUCUGAGAGGAAGGUCCCCCCACACUGGAACUGAGACACGGUCCAGACUCCUACGGGAGGCAGCAGUGAGGAAUAUUGGUCAAUGGUCUGACGACUGAACCAGCCACGCCGCGUGAAGGAUACGGGCCCUAUGGGUCUUAAACUCUUUUGUAAGGGAGCAAUAAGCGCCACGUGUGGCGUGAUGAGAGUACCUUACGAAUAAGCAUCGGCUAACUCCGUGCCAGCAGCCGCGGU